CCAGAGAACUACUUCUAUGUGCCAGACCUGGGCCAGGUGCCUGAGAUUGAUGUUCCAUCCUACCUGCCUGACCUGCCCAGCAUUGCCAACGACCUCAUGUACAUUGCCGACCUGGGCCCCGGCAUUGCCCCCUCUGCCCCUGGCACCAUUCCAGAACUGCCCACCUUCCACACUGAGGUAGCCGAGCCUCUCAAGGCCUACAAGAUGGGGUACUAACACCACCCCCACCGCCCCCACCACCACCCCCAGCUCCUGAGGUGCUGGCCAGUGCACCCCCACUCCCACCCUCAACCGCGGCCCCUGUAGGCCAAGGCGCCAGGCAGGACGACAGCAGCAGCAGCACGUCUCCUUCAGGUCAGGGAGCUCCCAGGGAAGUGGUCGACCCCUCCGGUGGCUGGGCCACUCUGCUAGAGUCCAUCCGCCAAGCUGGGGGCAUCGGCAAGGCCAAGCUGCGCAGCAUGAAGGAGCGAAAGCUGGAGAAGAAGAAGCAGAAGGAGCAGGAGCAA
rnacentral:lncRNA from 1 species